AUCCCACAACCCUUUGGUAUAGUGUUAUUUCCUAUUGUACUUUGGACAUUUGUCAAAUCCUCUGGAGAAUGUUGUUUGUUGCAUCGUUGUUCUUUUAAAAGGCAAAUGACAUGGCAAGUUCAGAAGGCAAAUUUUAUUCCAUCUUUAGUGGCAGUAGUUCCAAUGUCAGUGUGCCUUCAAAAUUAGCAAUUGUGCUACUCAGGACUUCAUCUGGGACUAAAAUAUUUGGUGGAAAUUUUAUAUCACAGUUCAAUUCUGAAACACUACACUCUGUUAUUGGGUGUUGAUCUUGGUGAUGAGUCAAGGUCCAUGUAUUUGUUCAUGCAUAGGGCUAGGGAAUCUGCUCUUCUAGCCUACUCCUCUUCAGUAUUUUAUUCACAAUUUCUAGUACCCAGGGCCUCAUUCCCUAGCUCUUCUGGAUGGAAAAAUAAUUUCUCUCAGAAUUUUACCCCCUGUCCUGUCACACAAUUAUAUAUGACUGGGUCCAUCCUUGAGAGAAGAUGUCAAUGAGAAUAAAAUAAUGGUGAUUCUUUACACGUACUUCAUAUCACAGGGGUUUCUCUGGCUAAAGACAAGUGUUUUGUCUCUUUAUGUGUUUUAGGAGCCCUUGUCAUAGCACCAUGGCAGUUCGGCUUUGUGAGUGGGGCUGGCCUGAGAGUAGGGAUCGGAGAAAAAAACAUAUUUUUCUCUCAUCUCUGGGAUUUUAAAUCCCCUGGUCUCCUGGAAAGACAGAAGGGCUCUCCCUACAAGAUUUCCUUCUCUUCCUGUUCUGCAGUUCUUCAGUUCAGGCCACACUCAGGUGAAACAAAGCCAGACAUGACUGUUCCUUUUCUUCCUGAGGUGAUUUUCUUUGUAUCUACUGACCAGCAAUGUCUAUCAAAGGACUACUCUUGGUGCAACAUCUUGAGGUUAUUGUAGUUGUUUAACCGCCCAUGGAAAGCUCCUUACACAGAGGGAGAGACAGAACCUGAGCACGGAAAGGGCAGAGAGAGAGAGGGAGACACAGAAU